AAUAGAUACCCGGGUAGUCCACGCCGUAAACGAUGUCGACUUGGAGGUUGUGCCCUUGAGGCGUGGCUUCCGGAGCUAACGCGUUAAGUCGACCGCCUGGGGAGUACGGCCGCAAGGUUAAAACUCAAAUGAAUUGACGGGGGCCCGCACAAGCGGUGGAGCAUGUGGUUUAAUUCGAUGCAACGCGAAGAACCUUACCUACUCUUGACAUCCACGGAAUUUAGCAGAGAUGCUUUAGUGCCUUCGGGAACCGUGAGACAGGUGCUGCAUGGCUGUCGUCAGCUCGUGUUGUGAAUGUUGGGUUAAGUCCCGCAACGAGCGCAACCCUUAUCCUUUGUUGCCAGCGGUUUAGGCCGGGAACUCAAAGGAGACUGCCAGUGAUAAACUGGAGGAAGGUGGGGAUGACGUCAAGUCAUCAUGGCCCUUACGAGUAGGGCUACACACGUGCUACAAUGGCAUAUACAAAGAGAAGCGACCUCGCGAGAGCAAGCGGACCUCAUAAAGUAUGUCGUAGUCCGGAUUGGAGU
rnacentral:rRNA from 1 species